GAAGCUCAAAGCCGCACUGGAAACACAGUCUUUCAGGAUGUCUGAAAGGGGCAAGUCUGUUUGUGUGGGGUAAGAAAUGCGGGGAGACAAACGGACAGUGGACAGAUUGCAGAGAGCUCUGUGUGCUGAGAGGAGGGUGCAGACCAGAUUUUUAAAUUGAGAAUGCAACAGUGAAGGAUUUCAAGCUUGGAGUGAGAGGGGAGACUACGAGCCUGCAGUGAUAAGGCAAAGCUGAAGAUUUCAGAGCCAAGGCCACACCCUACAGUUGCCAUGGAAUGGGGUGGCACAGUGGGCUUUGGAGGCUGGGGAGCUGUGCUUUGGAAAAGCAAUGAGGAGGUAACAGGAAGUCUCUUCUCCUUCUAAAUCCUGUGUUCAUGGAGGAGGGUGGGUUUUCUCCUCUUGAGAGGGAGUUACAUACAAGUUUAAGGGAAAAGAGUCUGAAGUUUCCACCUAAAUGAUUCUGAAAGAAUCAGAUAUACAGGGAGUCCACGGAGCCUCCCCUGCAAGCAUCAGUACAGAAGUCGAUGAUAAUCUGGAUGCAAGCCCAGGAGUGUGGAGUCCACUGACUCAGAAGACCUGCAUCUAAGGAAUUGGCUGUUCUUAUCCUUAAGAAUGAUGACUGUGUUUCCAAUUCCAGUAGACCCUUUGAUGCGUUCUGAAUAAAUAUUCCUUUUGGAAUUGAACUUCUAGAGCCCUUA
rnacentral:lncRNA from 1 species